UGGAUUCAAAAGUGCUAGCCUCAUGCAAAUGUGCAGUAGACCGACGGUUUAAACGUGUUGGUCCAUACGAAAAAAAUCACAAGGCUAUUGGAUGCGAAGCGAUAAGAUGAAGCGGGCAAAACAAACGUGAUGGGUUGUUGGACGUGACAUGGAACAAAUGCGUGGUAUGAAGUUUAUAAAAAGAAGGCCGCAGUGGAUCGAGGGGGG
rnacentral:lncRNA from 1 species